GCACAAGCGGUGGAUGAUGUGGUUUAAUUCGAUGCAACGCGAAAACCUUACCACUUUGACAUGGCAGGAAUCCCGAAGAGAUUUGGGAGUGCUCGAAAGAGAACCUGCACACAGGUGCUGCAUGGCUGUCGUCAGCUCGUGUCGUGAGAUGUUGGGUUAAGUCCCGCAACGAGCGCAACCCUUGCCAUUAGUUGCUACGAAAGGGCACUCUAAUGGGACUGCCGGUGACAAACCGGAGGAAGUGGGGAUGACGUCAAGUCCUCAUGGCCCUUAUAGGUGGGGCUACACACGUCAUACAAUGGCCGGUACAGAGGGUAGCCAACCCGCGAGGGGGAGCCAAUCCUGAAAGCAGGCCUCAGUUCAGAUUGCAGUCUGCAACUCGACUGCAUGAAGCCGGAGUUGCUAGUAACCGCAGGUCAGCAAUACUGCGGUGAAUACGUUCCCGGGUCUU
rnacentral:rRNA from 1 species